rnacentral:snRNA from 1 species
UCAAUCGCUCAUAAUGACCACAAAUUUUCAAACCAGAGAUUAGCAUGGUCCCCUGUGCAAGGAUGACAUACAAAUUCAUGAAGUGUUCCAUAUUUUC